UGUUCCCAGCAGUCUGUUUGUCAUGUAGAAAAUGAAACAGUCCUGUAAAGUCAUCUGAAAGCCUUCUGCUCAAGACCUCCCAGGGCUUUGGGGCCUUGAAGGUACAGGAGACAGGUCUGGAGCUCCUGAGGCACAGAAUGAAGAGCAGCUGAUGGGCUUGGAGAUGGGUUCUUGUUAUAAUCCCAACAAAGAUGAGAUCUACAGAAGCUGGGUAUUUGAAUUUGUGGAGAAUUUGAUCCUGCUUCCUCUUGCUUCUUCGAUGGUAUUCCAGGCGGAUACACUGGUGGGCAAACACUACCACCCAUCCAUAACAAAACUCAUUACGCAAAGACUCACAAGGUGGAGAACUGACCACCCAACUCCACUGCUCACUAACUCUGUAAACUCAAGAAAAAUUGCCAGAGCCUGGACAUACCUGUGUCCAAAGCACACUGGAAAAACUCUGCUCCAGUCUUCAUAUGCAUGCAUGAAAGCCCAGGCCAGACUCCGGGACAGCAGACUGGUGGGUGACAUGCAGAGCAGGACAGGUUGCCUAGUCACAUGCUCCAGCCUCUCUUCUAAGCCAAAUGAAAGUGAACACAGGACAUUCAGUUAAAUUGGCAUUUCAGGUAAGCUACAAAUAUUUUUAGUGUAUUUUUCAAGUAUUACAUAAGACAUACUUAUGUUGAUGC
rnacentral:lncRNA from 1 species